AGACACCUACAAUGCACGUCAGACCCUUCAUGUUUCUAACCUACGUAACAUGAACGGGAGUCAAGAUUCAUACGGUGGCUGUCAUGCCCACUACGGGUGGGAAGACAAAAACUUUAUGUAAGACACCCACCUGCGAGAUGCAGGUUUUGAAACCUUGGGUGCAACGGCAUUGUGGGUGUCUU
rnacentral:other from 1 species